UGACGAGAAGACCCCGUCAAACUUUAAUUAUCAUAUAUAAAAGUGAAAAUAUAAAAUAUAAAUUAAUUUUAGUUGGGGCAACUGGGAGGGAUAAAAAUCUUUUAUUAAAUCAUUUAUAAUAAUAUUUAUAUUUAUGAUCCAAAUUAGUUAAUUUUGAACUUAGAAU
rnacentral:rRNA from 1 species